CGAAAUUGCAUGAGCUAAUCUUCAUCAUCUAACUAUUAUGUAACAUAAUAAUAUUGUGAAUGAUGAUUAGGGGUGAUAGGCCUCUCAAAUGCAUGAUAUCUUGAUUCUUAAAAUAUGUAAUAGUACAAAGACAAAUUAACAGUUAUAAGGCUUUUAAUAAUAAUUAAUUAUGAUUACCUCCACAAGUGGGUUUAAUAGCCUACAUAUAUAAUUUUAUAAUAUUAAUGAUGUAUAAAUUAUUUUAACUAUUAAGACUCAAUGAACCUUAAUGUUUGAUAACAAUGUUUUCAUUAGUAUUUAGAAGUUAUUAAUAGUGAAUUCGGCAUUUUGUUUUCAACUGUUUACCAAAAACAUAGCUACGUGAGAAUACACGUGGUAAGUUCUGCUCAAUGAUAUAUUAAAUAGCCGCAGUACCCUGACUGUGCAAAGGUAGCGUAAUCAUUUGUCUCUUAAUUAGAGUCCUGUAUGAAAGAAUAAAUGAGGGCAAUCUUUACCAUUAAUAAAAAAAAAAUUUACUUAAUGGGUGCAAAUACCCAUGCUUAAAUAAUAGACGAGAAGACCCUAGAAAUUUAUAUAAAUGUUUUGUUGGGGCAACAUAGUAGCAUGUAAUCUACUAUAUGUAUAUGACAUCUUUUUGAAAAAAAAAAUUACUCUAGGGAUAACAGCAUAAUCUAUAAAUGUUUGUGACCUCGAUGUUGGAUUAGGGAGUUGUUGUUUAGA
rnacentral:rRNA from 1 species